CCUGCCUUGGUCUCCCAAAGUGCUGGGAUUAGAAGCGUGAGCCACCGCUCCCAGCUUACCUGGCUAAUUUUUGUAUUUUUAGUAGAGAUGGGGUUUCAUCAUGUUGGCCAGGCUGGUCUCAAACUCCUGACCUCAGGUGAUCCACCUACCUCAGCCUCCCAAAGUGCUGGGAUUAUAGGCUUGAGCCACCGCACCCUGUGUGUUUUGAAUAUUUUUGAUCUGCAGUUGGCUCAAACCAGCAGACACAGAGGCUGACUGCUCUAGGCGCCUGCCCUAGUCUGGGGUGGGGCUCAGGAAGUGAUGUGCUGGGAACGGGGGACUCAAGGGGACUUGAUUCAUUUUACGAUUUCUUUCUUUUUAUUCAUUCCCAUCUCCCUAGCACCCGGCCUGACCCACAAAUGGGACUUAAACACCGGCGCACACAGAUUUAUGCCGUGGGCUGGGCCUGGGAGUUGCAGCUCUUCAGGGUCUUCCGUGGUCAUUGCCCCACCUGCUGGUCACACUGGGAGUGACACUCAGGAGUGGCCCCAGAGCCACCCUCUGGGAAGUGAGGGGAUCCUUGGGAGCCCGAGGAUCCCAGGCGGCCCUGGUUGGGCAUCCCUGGUAAGUCCCCUUCUCUAGUCACUUUCUCAGGACAGGUUUUGAGCUGGUCUGGUAGACCUGCGAGGCUGAACUGGAAAUGACUCCCGGUCUAGGCAUUUCUCUUCUUUGGGCUGGAGCCGGCUCCCCUCAGCGCUUGCCCAGGGGCCAUUAGAAGCUGAGUGCGGUCUAUUUGUCUUUGAUUAAUAAAAAAUGGGAAGGGAAGUCAUGAUUAUUUAAUAAUGUAGCCUGUCUGGCAGUAAAAGUCUUUCAAAACAUAGGGCCCAAGGGGGAAACUACUUAUAGGCCGCUGAGAAGCAUGGGUACCGGGAUGCGGUGGGAGAAGGCGUGGGCGUUGGGAUCCGAGUGCGCUGGGCUUUGAGACCCCGCUCAGCUGCUUCCAGUAAGUGUGGUGCAAGAGGCUUCACCUGCCCGGCCUCCACUCCUCUACUGCCAGAUUUCUCUAGUGACUCCUGCCGGCAAGCCUGGGCAGGGUCCGCACACCUUGAGCGGGUGCUGCGUUUUAAUCAGUCCAUCCAGCCUGGGUAUGAACUAAGUGAAAUGAUGUCUAUAAAGUUUGGCACGGCCGGGCGCGGUGGCUCACGCCUGUAAUCCUAGUACUUUGGGAGGCCGAGGCGGGCGGACUGCCUGAGCUCAGGAGUUUGAGACCAGCCUGGGCAACACGGUGAAACCCCGUCUCUACUAAAAUACAAAAGAAAUUAGUGGGGCGUGGCGCCUGUGAUCCCAGCUAUUCAGGAGGCUGAGGCAGGAGAAUUGCUUGAACCUGGGAGGC
rnacentral:lncRNA from 1 species